rnacentral:lncRNA from 1 species
AAGUCUCCUCCGUCGUUGUCACCGUGACAUUCAGCACACCCACAAGAAGAACGCUGUCCCCGGAAGCUGCCGUGAGAAGUCUGAGGUCCCAUGAAAGGAACUAAGAGGGAGACGUUAAGGAGAAGGGACCCGGGACAGGCUUGAAUGGAACGGCUGCCUCCCUCAGCCCAGGCCUCUCCUGACGGGAAUGAUGAAGCGGUGGGGAGACAGCGGAUUGAAAGAGAAGUCAGCUCAGCGGGGAAGCUCAGAUUGCCUUCCCGGACCACAGGCUGGGAACCAGGAGAGGAGACUGCGAGAUUGACAGGCCCGGUGCUGUCUGUAAUUAGAAAAUAAAUUACUUUGCCUCAAAGAAGCACGCUUGGUCCUAGCAGCAGGAUAAGGGGAUCAGAGGCGAGGAGCCAUCCACAGCCUGACGGGUGCAGAGCCAGCGCCUAUCAGCCUGUCCAGGCGGCCGAGGCCCCGACGAGGUGAGGGGGCAGGGUCCGGGGCGG